rnacentral:rRNA from 1 species
CCUACGGGUGGCAGCAGUGGGGGAUAUUGCACAAUGGGGGAAACCCUGAUGCAGCGACGCCGCGUGUGGGAAGACGGUCCUCUGGAUUGUAAACCACUGUCCCCAGGGACGAAGAUGACGGUACCUGGGGAGGAAGCUCUGGCUAACUACGUCCCAGAAGCCGCGGUAAUACGUAGGGAGCGAGCGUUGUCCGGAAUUACUGGGGGUAAAGGGAGCGUAGGCGGGGAUGCAAGUUGGGGGUCAAAACUACCGGGUCAACUGGUAGUCGCACUCAAAACUGCAGCUCUUGAGUGAAGUAGAGGCAGGCGGAAUUCCUAGUGUAGCGGUGAAAUGCGUAGAGAUUAGGAGGAACACCAGUGGCGAAGGCGGCCUGCUGGGCUUUUACUGACGCUGAGGCUCGAAAGUGUGGGGAGCAAACAGGAUUAGAUACCCCGGUAGUC